rnacentral:tRNA from 2 species
GUUCUGGUAGCUCAGUUGGUUAGAGCGCGCGACUGUUAAUCGCGAGGUCACAGGUUCAACCCCUGUUCGGAGCG